rnacentral:rRNA from 1 species
UUGAACGCUGGCGGCAGGCCUAACACAUGCAAGUCGAACGGUAACAGGAAGCAGCUUGCUGCUUUGCUGACGAGUGGCGGACGGGUGAGUAAUGUCUGGGAAACUGCCUGAUGGAGGGGGAUAACUACUGGAAACGGUAGCUAAUACCGCAUAACGUCGCAAGACCAAAGAGGGGGACCUUCGGGCCUCUUGCCAUCGGAUGUGCCCAGAUGGGAUUAGCUAGUAGGUGGGGUAACGGCUCACCUAGGCGACGAUCCCUAGCUGGUCUGAGAGGAUGACCAGCCACACUGGAACUGAGACACGGUCCAGACUCCUACGGGAGGCAGCAGUGGGGAAUAUUGCACAAUGGGCGCAAGCCUGAUGCAGCCAUGCCGCGUGUAUGAAGAAGGCCUUCGGGUUGUAAAGUACUUUCAGCGGGGAGGAAGGGAGUAAAGUUAAUACCUUUGCUCAUUGACGUUACCCGCAGAAGAAGCACCGGCUAACUCCGUGCCAGCAGCCGCGGUAAUACGGAGGGUGCAAGCGUUAAUCGGAAUUACUGGGCGUAAAGCGCACGCAGGCGGUCUGUCAAGUCGGAUGUGAAAUCCCCGGGCUCAACCUGGGAACUGCAUUCGAAACUGGCAGGCUUGAGUCUUGUAGAGGGGGGUAGAAUUCCAGGUGUAGCGGUGAAAUGCGUAGAGAUCUGGAGGAAUACCGGUGGCGAAGGCGGCCCCCUGGACGAAGACUGACGCUCAGGUGCGAAAGCGUGGGGAGCAAACAGGAUUAGAUACCCUGGUAGUCCACGCCGUAAACGAUGUCGAUUUGGAGGUUGUGCCCUUGAGGCGUGGCUUCCGGAGCUAACGCGUUAAGUCGACCGCCUGGGGAGUACGGCCGCAAGGUUAAAACUCAAAUGAAUUGACGGGGGCCCGCACAAGCGGUGGAGCAUGUGGUUUAAUUCGAUGCAACGCGAAGAACCUUACCUGGUCUUGACAUCCACGGAAGUUUUCAGAGAUGAGAAUGUGCCUUCGGGAACCGUGAGACAGGUGCUGCAUGGCUGUCGUCAGCUCGUGUUGUGAAAUGUUGGGUUAAGUCCCGCAACGAGCGCAACCCUUAUCCUUUGUUGCCAGCGGUCCGGCCGGGAACUCAAAGGAGACUGCCAGUGAUAAACUGGAGGAAGGUGGGGAUGACGUCAAGUCAUCAUGGCCCUUACGACCAGGGCUACACACGUGCUACAAUGGCGCAUACAAAGAGAAGCGACCUCGCGAGAGCAAGCGGACCUCAUAAAGUGCGUCGUAGUCCGGAUUGGAGUCUGCAACUCGACUCCAUGAAGUCGGAAUCGCUAGUAAUCGUGGAUCAGAAUGCCACGGUGAAUACGUUCCCGGGCCUUGUACACACCGCCCGUCACACCAUGGGAGUGGGUUGCAAAAGAAGUAGGUAGCUUAACCUUCGGGAGGGCGCUUACCACUUUGUGAUUCAUGACUGGGGUG